rnacentral:rRNA from 1 species
AUUGAACGCUGGCGGCAUGCUUUACACAUGCAAGUCGAACGGUAACAGGCCGCAAGGUGCUGACGAGUGGCGAACGGGUGAGUAAUGCAUCGGAACGUGCCCAGUCGUGGGGGAUAACGUAGCGAAAGCUGUGCUAAUACCGCAUACGAUCUGUGGAUGAAAGCGGGGGACCUUCGGGCCUCGCGCGAUUGGAGCGGCCGAUGUCAGAUUAGGUAGUUGGUGGGGUAAAGGCUCACCAAGCCGACGAUCUGUAGCUGGUCUGAGAGGACGACCAGCCACACUGGGACUGUGACACGGCCCAGACUCCUACGGGAGGCAGCAGUGGGGAAUUUUGGACAAUGGGCGCAAGCCUGAUCCAGCAAUGCCGCGUGCAGGAAGAAGGCCUUCGGGUUGUAAACUGCUUUUGUACGGAGCGAAAAGGCUCCCUCUAAUACAGGGGGCUCAUGACGGUACCGUAAGAAUAAGCACCGGCUAACUACGUGCCAGCCGCCGCGGUAACAC